rnacentral:lncRNA from 1 species
AUGGGAGAUUGUCAAGUUGGUCAAGUGACUGACACUUCAGGAAGACAACAAAUGGGCCCAAGGACACGAAUCGGGACUCCACUGCCUGACUGUUCCUUGUAUAACGGUGUGACUUGUGCAUCCCUGCCACCACCCAACCCACUCAGACCAGCUGUUACCCUGUCCUUUGGCACACAGCUGGAUGAUACCUAGGGAACUCAGUGUUGGACAUGAUAUCAUGCUGUUUCUGGAAUCAUGCACACGCAACCCAGGAGACUGAACAACAUUGCAUUGAAAAGGAAAGUAGGAAACAAAAGCAGCGCAUUUCAUGUUUCAGCCUCUUGGAGGGACCAAAGGGCAUACUGUCUUUAGAAAUACUACAAAAGGCUAAAAGAGAUGUAUAAGCUCAGCUGUGAAUACAUGUCCUGCUUUCUGACUUCUCCUGGAAUUCACUGUGCCAGGCCAAAAAACCCCAAAGGAUGCAAAAUUUUCUGAACCAUGUGUGAGUCUCCCCUGAAAAAGGGAGAGCACAUACCCAGCAAACUAGGCCAUCCCACCUCCAGCAGCUCUCAGCCCCUGCCUAGACAGUGCUCGUGGCACACAGGCCAAGAGCCUGCCUUUCUCAGAAAGUGCCCAGCCUCCCCAUGGAGAGUAUCACUCCAAGCCAACAGUUACCCUCCUGCCUGAAAGAGGGAUGGUCAGCUCACAGUAUGGCCAAACAUAUUCCCACUUCUGUAUGGAAAUAGCAGCCCAGAGCCCAGCAUCCCAGUUUCACUCAGAGGUAAAACCAUCAGCCUCCCAAGUGAGCUAAGAUGCAGCCAUGUGCUAGGCAUGGCCUAACCUUUCUGCAGAGGGAAAGCAAAUUUUACAAAGGGGAAGCGGCUACUUGAUGAGGAGCUGGUCAGCAUCCAGGGUCAGUCCUUGAGAGAGUUUCCCAGACAGCAGCAG